GACGAACGCUGGCGGCGUGCUUAACACAUGCAAGUCGAACGGAAAGGCCCUGCUUUUGUGGGGUGCUCGAGUGGCGAACGGGUGAGUAACACGUGAGUAACCUGCCCUUGACUUUGGGAUAACUUCAGGAAACUGGGGCUAAUACCGGAUAGGAGCUCCUGUUGCAUGGUGGGGGUUGGAAAGUUUCGGCGGUUGGGGAUGGAUUCGCGGCUUAUCAGCUUGUUGGUGGGGUAGUGGCUUACCAAGGCUUUGACGGGUAGCCGGCCUGAGAGGGUGACCGGCCACAUUGGGACUGAGAUACGGCCCAGACUCCUACGGGAGGCAGCAGUGGGGAAUAUUGCACAAUGGGCGGAAGCCUGAUGCAGCAACGCCGCGUGCGGGAUGACGGCCUUCGGGUUGUAAACCGCUUUCGCCUGUGACGAAGCGUGAGUGACGGUAAUGGGUAAAGAAGCACCGGCUAACUACGUG
rnacentral:rRNA from 1 species